rnacentral:rRNA from 1 species
UACGUAGGUGGCGAGCGUUGUCCGGAUUUACUGGGUGUAAAGGGCGUGCAGCCGGGAAUGCAAGUCAGAUGUGAAAUCUAUGGGCUCAACCCAUAAAUUGCAUUUGAAACUGUGUUUCUUGAGUGCUGGAGAGGCAGACGGAAUUCCUAGUGUAGCGGUGAAAUGCGUAGAUAUUAGGAGGAACACCAGUGGCGAAGGCGGUCUGCUGGACAGUAACUGACGGUGAGGCGCGAAAGCGUGGGGAGCAAACAGG